AUGGUGGGCACUGGUCAGAUCUCGGGGAAGACCGGUCUCAAACUUGCUGCAGAGGAGUACUGCCCUGUACUAGAAUAUCAUGAUGGCCAUGGCGAAGCAGUUCCUGUAGGCGUUGCUGCUCCUGUUGGCCAACCCCUUCCUGGCCUUUCCGGGUUGGGUUCCCGUGAGCGGCGUCAUCAGCUUAGGCACCAACCUCGUCUCCUCAAGUUUGAUGGUCCAGUCCCCAGUGAGGAAGAAAUCUUAGUCGACGACGCUGGCAGUGGCACUGGCUCCAGUGCCCCUGCUCUUGCAGCACUCGAGCAUAUUUUUAUCCGCAGCUAG
rnacentral:rRNA from 1 species